rnacentral:rRNA from 1 species
AUGAUGAGCAAAGGUAUUCCUCGUCCCAACAUUGUGUUCUUCAAUUCAGUUAUAAACUAUUUAUGCAAAGAAGGAAGGGUUAUGGAUGCACAAGAUAUCUUUGAAUUUAUUAUAAGCAUAGAUGAGAGACCUGAUGUCAUUACAUUUAACUCGCUGAUUGACGGAUAUUGCUUAGUCAGCAAGAUGGAUAAAGCAUCUGGAGUACUUGAUGCCAUGGUAUCAGCUGGCAUUGAGCCUAAUGUUGUUACAUAUAAUACACUUGUUAGUGGCUAUUCUAUAAAUAGAAGGAUCGAUGAUGGUUUGACUCUGUUUAGGCAAAUGCCACUUAAGAGAAUAAAACCUGACAGUGUUACAUAUGGCAUCAUACUGGAUGGGUUUUUUCGUGCUGGGAGAACUGUUGCUGCAAGGAAAAUGUUCCAUGAGAUGAUCGAAAGGGGUAUACCAGUGACCAUUUCCAUAUACAAUAGAAUACUUGGAGAUCUUUGUAGAAAUAAUUGUGCAGACGAAGCCAUCGCACUAUUCCAGAAAUUAGGAGCAAUGAAUGUGAAGUUCGAUAUUAUAACACUCAAUACCAUGAUUAAUGCAAUGUUCAAGGUUCGAAGAAGAGAAGAAGCUAACGAUUUGUUUGCUGCAAUAUCAGCCAGUGGGUUGGUGCCUAAUGCUUCUACUUACGGCAUAAUGAUAAAAAAUAUUCUAAAGGAAGGAUCAGUGGAAGAAAUUGACAAUAUGUUUUCAUCAAUGGAGAAGAGUGGUAUAGUUCCCAGCUCUCAUCUUAUAAAUGAUAUUAUAAGAAUGUUGUUGGAAAAAGGUGAGAUUGCCAGGGCCGGAUAUUAUUUGUUGAAAGUUGAUGGGAAGAACACCUUGCUUGAAGCUUCAACUACUUCACUGAUGUUGUCCCUCUUUUCUAGGGAAGGGAAAUAUCAGGAGGACGUGAAAUUGCUCCCUGCAAAGUAUCAAUUUUUCUAUGGAUUUGGUUGA